CUCAAAGAACACAUAUAAUGGUAUUAAAAACACCAUAUAUCAAUUCCCCCAGACUUAGAUCCUUGUUUGUCCUCGAACAAGGCCGAAGCCUCAAGAACAGGGAGAAAGGUUUGAAAGAGUGGAAACUCGCUUGACCUCAAUAACCAUACUCUUACCACACAUCUCUGAACCAUACAAGCUAUAGACUCAGACCACACACCCUUACCAAAACACCCACGAUCGCUGUUCAAAAAUCAGCUCCAUACUCUGUAUCUCAUACCUGAAAAAGGGUACACUAU
rnacentral:lncRNA from 1 species